GCCAGGUGUGGUGGUGCACACCUGUAAUCCCAGCUACUAGGGAGGCUGAGGCAGAAGAAUCGCUUGAACCCAGGAGGUGGAGGUUGCAGUGAGCCGAGAUUGCUAAACUGCACUCCAGCCUGGGUGACAGAGCGAGACUCCGUCUCAA
ensembl:misc_RNA Metazoa_SRP Metazoan signal recognition particle RNA